GGGCCGCUAGCUCAGCUGGUAGAGCAACGGACUCUUAAUCCGUCGGUCGAAGGUUCGAUCCCUUCGCGGCUCACCA
rnacentral:tRNA from 3 species